rnacentral:rRNA from 1 species
CACCAACCUAUACGGUACGGGCUCUGAGAGGAGAAGCCCGGAGAUGGGCACUGAGACAAGGGCCCAGGCCCUAUGGGGCGCAGCAGGCGCGAAACCUCUGCAAUAGGCGAAAGCCUGACAGGGUUACUCUGAGUNAUUUCCGCUAAGGGGAUCUUUUGGCACCUCUAAAAANGGUGCAGAAUAAGGGGUGGGCAAGUCUGGUGUCAGCCGCCGCGGUAAUACCAGCACCCCGAGUGGUCGGGACGAUUAUUGGGCCUAAAGCAUCCGUAGCCGGUUGUGCAAGUCUUCCGUUAAAUCCAGCCGCUCAACGGAUGGGCUGCGGAGGAUACUACAGAACUAGGAGGCGGGAGAGGCAAGCGGUACUUAGUGGGUAGGGGUAAAAUCCUUUGAUCCAUUGAAGACCACCAGUGGCGAAGGCGGCUUG